AUGGGCAAGCACGUUGCAUCGCCUGGAAGGGUUGUGCUUGUCAAGUCGGUUGUAACGGCGAUUGCUAUAUAUUACUUGACGGUGCUAAACCUCCUUGUGGAGGUACUGAAAAAGAUUGACUCCCUGCGGCGUGCAUAUCUCUGGGCUGGUUGUGACAAGGUUUCUGGUGGAAAAUGCAAAAUCAACUGGGAGCAAGUGUGCAAA
rnacentral:rRNA from 1 species